rnacentral:rRNA from 1 species
UACGGAGGGAGCUAGCGUUGUUCGGAAUUACUGGGCGUAAAGCGCACGUAGGCGGCUACUCAAGUCAGAGGUGAAAGCCCAGGGCUCAACCCUGGAACUGCCUUUGAAACUAGGUAGCUAGAAUCUUGGAGAGGUCAGUGGAAUUCCGAGUGUAGAGGUGAAAUUCGUAGAUAUUCGGAAGAACACCAGUGGCGAAGGCGACUGACUGGCCCGGUACUGACGCUGAGACGCGAAAGCGUGGGGAGCAAACAGG